CCUACGGGUGGCAGCAGUGAGGAAUAUUGGUCAAUGGCCGGAAGGCUGAACCAGCCAUGCCGCGUGAAGGUCAGUGCCCUAUGGGUUGUAAACCUCUUUUGUCAGGGAGCAACGCCGGCUACGUGUAGCCGGACUGAGAGUACCUGAAGAAAAAGCAUCGGCUAACUCCGUGCCAGCAGCCGCGGUAAUACGUAGGAUGCGAGCGUUAUCCGGAUUUAUUGGGUUUAAAGGGUGCGUAGGCGGAAUGCCAAGUCAGCGGUAAAAUCGCGGGGCUCAACCUCGCUCCGCCGUUGAAACUGGCGUUCUUGAGUGGGCGAGAAGUAUGCGGAAUGCGUGGUGUAGCGGUGAAAUGCAUAGAUAUCACGCAGAACUCCGAUUGCGAAGGCAGCAUACCGGCGCCCAACUGACGCUGAAGCACGAAAGCGUGGGUAUCGAACAGGAUUAGAUACCCCUGUAGUC
rnacentral:rRNA from 1 species